rnacentral:rRNA from 1 species
UGGGCGAAGUUGGGCCUAGGUGUGGGGACAUUCCACGUUUUCCGCGCCGUAGCUAACGCAUUAAGUGCCCCGCCUGGGGAGUACGGCCGCAAGGCUAAAACUCAAAGAAAUUGACGGGGGCCCGCACAAGCGGCGGAGCAUGCGGAUUAAUUCGAUGCAACGCGAAGAACCUUACCAAGGCUUGACAUAUACUAGACCGCCUCAGAGAUGGGGUUUCCCUUCGGGGCUGGUAUACAGGUGGUGCAUGGUUGUCGUCAGCUCGUGUCGUGAGAUGUUGGGUUAAGUCCCGCAACGAGCGCAACCCUCGUUCUAUGUUGCCAGCACGUAAUGGUGGGGACUCAUAGGAGACUGCCGGGGUUAACUCGGAGGAAGGUGGGGAUGACGUCAAAUCAUCAUGCCCCUUAUGUCUUGGGCUUCACGCAUGCUACAAUGGCCGGUACAAAGGGUUGCGAUACUGUGAGGUUGAGCUAAUCCCAAAAAGCCGGUCUCAGUUCGGAUUGGGGUCUGCAACUCGACCCCAUGAAGUCGGAGUCGCUAGUAAUCGCAGAUCAGCAACGCUGCGGUGAAUACGUUCCCGGGCCUUGUACACACCGCCCGUCAAGUCACGAAAGUUGGUAACACCCGAAGCCGAUGGCCUAACCCCUUGUGGGAGGGAGUCGUCGAAGGUGGGAUUGGCGAUUGGGACUAAGUCGUCAAAGGGGGAACCCAAAAAAAAAAAAAGGAAGGGGACCCCCAUGAA